AGAAGCUUAGGAUAAACAUUAAACCGAAGACCUUCAAAGUCUUAAAUAAGAGUUAGACCCUCUUAGUUUCUG
rnacentral:tRNA from 2 species